rnacentral:rRNA from 1 species
GGGCUGCAUGNCUGUCGUCAAAUCGCCUCCUGAGAUAUUGGGUUAAGUCACGCAACGAGCGCAACCCACGUCCUUAGUUGCCAUCAUUCAGUUGGGCACUCUAGGGAGACUGCCGGUGAUAAGCCGCGAGGAAGGUGUGGAUGACGUCAAGUCCUCAUGGCCCUUACGGGAUGGGCUACACACGUGCUACAAUGGCGGUGACAGAGGGACGCGAAACCGCGAGGUUGGCAAAUCCCCAAAAGCCGUCUCAGUUCGGAUUGCACUCUGCAACUCGGGUGCAUGAAGGCGGAAUCGCUAGUAAUCGUGGAUCAGCACGCCACGGUGAAUACGUUCCCGGGCCUUGUACACACCGCCCGUCACACCAUGGGAGUUGGUCUUACCCGACGGCGCUGCGCCAACCGCAAGGAGGCAGGCGACCAC